CCUCGAAAUGUGCAUUGCUCCGCCCACGACACAACUCGUGUUGGCAGCAUGGUUGGCAGCACGUUUUGCCAGUGUUUCCAACAUUCGCCAAGAGUUAAUUAAGCUUCGAUUUAGUAUUCAGUUGAGAACAGAACCCGGGACAGAGUAGAAAUCACUAUACGCAAACACGAAAAUAUCUGAAUUUCAGAACUGUUCGUCUUGGCUGAUUUAUCAGCAAAAAUAUUACUUUACCCUGUCUGGCCAACAAUCAAACGUUAGUUAUCACGUCAACUCGCUGACAAUGAGCAAAUCGCCGCAACUGCGACAUUUCAUCCAAGAAACCUUUCUCAAAUACCAACCAUUUUUUCCAUGUCCCCCAGAACAAAAAAAAGGAAAUGUAACCGGAGACUGAUGAUGUCAGGGAAUCAGGAAGUCAACCGUUUCUUUACAUGUUUAUUUUUGCCCACCAGACAGCUAUGCUUCAUGUAAAAUAUAAAAAAAAAAAGAAAAGAUUCCCAGGAUUGUUUGUGAGCUUUCCAUCCACGUGAUAAUAAUGGAGGGGAAAUGUCCCAAAACUUCGAGAGAAAAAAAAAAAAAAACAGAUGAAGGGGAACGACAAAAAUACCUUCCUGCUUCGUUUUUCGGGCGAUGAAAAGAAUUUCUGCCACACAGGGCUUUUGAUGCUCAGCUGUUACCGUCUUCGAUUCUAAACCAAAAGUACAGUAGGAAAAGAGAAAAAAAAAAUGGCUUUCUUCUUCUUCGAACACAAAGUAUGAUUCUUUCUUUCAACGGACAAUACGUUAGGAAAAAGAAAAAUGACUUCCUAGUAUGGACUGUGCCAUAAAUCACUGACGAAUCUGCUAUCGCACGCAAUGCACUUCAUCUUCUAUACACAGCCGAAAGAAAGCUGUUAAGUUAACGUCAUUACCUUAACACGUGUAUCGUUAAGACAAUUGGUUUGUACGGACGUUGUUCACAUUAGCAGUCGAGUAUAUAGAAAAGCAAUAAUUUCUUUCACCGUCUAGCGCUUAUAAUUGCCAAUUUCUUUUUUGUGACCCUUUUGCUCAAGGCAAAUCCUAUUAGUUCUUUUGGCGAGUGUGUAGGAGGCAACUGACGUGUGACGUCAGCUCCGACGUAUCGGCAAAGGCUUAUAUUUUAAGUACACGCU